UUCAAGAUCAUUUCUUGAUCAUUAUUAGUUCACGACCGUUUAUGCGUAGAUCACCCACCUUUUAUUCUUGUACUUGUAAGUUAGCAACUCAAAUAAAUUCUUAGUGCCUUUUGCACCCUCACCACUUAACCAUACCUCAUCCAUUAAGCUUUGCUAGUACGGUAUCUCUUGAAAUGAGAUUGUUGAGUGUGUGUGGCUCAUAGAUUACUACAACAACACUUGCAGGUACAGGUAAAGCGAUACUUUGACGUGAGCGCGAUGAUUGUUUUAUUUGGAAUUCUUGUUCUUUUUCUUCUUCUUCAUUGAUCAUAGGAUGGGUUUGAGGCCGGCAGCCUGGGAUAUCAAGGAUGGACGUCAUUUUAUUCGUUUGAUUUCAUCCGUAGUCGGACCCUGCUCUUCUGAAUGGUGAUUGAAUGUAUGUUUGUAUUGAUAUGAUCAUAAUUAGCUUGUGGCGAGUGUAAUCCAAUU
rnacentral:lncRNA from 1 species